UCCUACUUCACUCUUGUUUGCCUCUCGGU
rnacentral:piRNA from 1 species